rnacentral:rRNA from 1 species
UACGGAGGGUGCGAGCGUUAAUCGGAAUUACUGGGCGUAAAGCGCGCGUAGGUGGUUUAGUAAGUCGGAUGUGAAAGCCCCGGGCUUAACCUGGGAACUGCAUUCGAUACUGCUUUACUCGAGUGUGGUAGAGGGUAGUGGAAUUCCUGGUGUAGCGGUGAAAUGCGUAGAUAUCAGGAGGAACAUCAGUGGCGAAGGCGGCUACCUGGACCAACACUGACACUGAGGUGCGAAAGCGUGGGUAGCAAACAGG